UACGGAAGGCAGCAGUGGGGAAUAUUGCACAAUGGGCGAAAGCCUGAUGCAGCUAUGCCGCGUGUAUGAAGAAGGCCUUAGGGUUGUAAAGUACUUUCAUCGGGGAGGAAAAAACAAAACUAAUAAUUUUAUUUCUUGACGUUACCCGAAAAAGAAGCACCGGCUAACUCCGUGCCAGCAGCCGCGGUAAUACGGAGGGUGCUAGCGUUAAUCAGAAUUACUGGGCGUAAAGAGCACGUAGGUGGUUUUUUUAAAGUCAGAUGUGAAAUCCCUGGGCUUUAACCUGGAACUGCAUUUUGAAACUGAAAUACUAGAGUAUCGUAGAGGGAGGUAGAAUUCUAGGUGUAGCGGUGAAAUGCGUAGAUAUCUGGAGGAAUACCUGUGGCGAAAGCGGCCUCCUAAACGAAUACUGACACUGAGGUGCGAAAGCGUGGGGAGCAAACAGGGAUUUAGAUAC
rnacentral:rRNA from 1 species